GCCAACGUAGCUCAGUCGGUAGAGCGCAUCCAUGGUAAGGAUGAGGUCCGCGGUUCAAUCCCGCGCGUUGGCU
rnacentral:tRNA from 1 species